ensembl:lncRNA
GUUUGAUAAGGACUGGAGAGCUAAAAGACCACAGGUGCAAAAGAGAUUCACACUUUGCAGUUUCUUUGCCAAGAUCUUUGAGCUGCUUGACUUCUUUCGCCUCGGAGAUGACCUCUCAGUCGACGAUCGCCUCUCCCAGCUUUUCCUCGGUGAUGAACGUUUCUCAUCUCUUCUUCUCAGUGAGGAUCGUCUCUCGCGGCACCUUGAGCGUGAUCGAUAUCGUGAAGAGGAAGGACGGUCAUACCACGAGGAGUCAGAAUGAGACCGGGACCUGAAAAAAGUAUGGAUCAAAGAACUUAAUAACUCAGAAACAUCUCAAAGCACACACCCAGCAUGGAUACAAAAGACCUGCGAUUGCGUCUGGACCUGUACAGAGAUCGUGAUUGGCUUCUGUGUCUCUCCCUUCGGCGGCUGCGUAAUUGAGAACAGGAAUGACUGUUCCUCCUAUUCUGCAAGUCACGGAGAAUACACAGUGCUGGUCCUGCUGGAUCUCAGCUCUGCUUUUGACACUGUAGAUCACAGUAUCAUGAUAAACAGACUCGAGAACUUGUUUGGGAUUACUGGUGUUGUUUUAAAAUGGUUUAUAUCAUAUCUGUCUGAG